AGCAGCCGCGGUAAUUCCAGCNCCNAUAGCGUAUAUUAAAGUUGCUGCAGUUAAAAAGCUCGUAGUUGAAUUUCGGGACCAUCAUGUCGGUCGUGCCUCGGUACGUACUGGCAUUGUUGGUUUCUCCCUUCUGACGAACCACGAUGUCAUUUGUUUGGUGUUGUGGGGAAUCAGGACUGAUACUUUGAAAAAAUUAGAGUGUUUAAAGCAGGCUCACGCUUGAAUACAUUAGCAUGGAAUAAUGAAAUAGGACGUUUGAUUCUAUUUUGUUGGUUUCUAGGAUCGACGUAAUGAUUAAUAGGGAUAGUUGGGGGCAUUAGUAUUCAAUUGUCAGAGGUGAAAUUCUUGGAUUUAUUGAAGACUAACUACUGCGAAAGCAUUUGCCAAGGAUGUUUUCAUUAAUCAAGAACGAAAGUUAGGGGGUCGAAGACGAUCAGAUACCGUCGUAGUCUUAACCAUAAACUAUGCCGACUAGGGAUCGGAUGAUGUUAAUUUUUUAAUGACUCA
rnacentral:rRNA from 1 species